UAAUAAUAAUAAUAAUAAUAAUACAGUAAUAUCUUGCUUUUUCCUUCUUCACAGAUAUCCAAAGGUGAGGGAGAAAGCACUCUGUGUGCGUUCAGAGGUGCAUGAGGAACUCUGUAUGUGCUCAGAGGUAUCUGGCACCCUCCACAGACGCCCCUUUUUCCUCUCAAGGCUGCAGAGCAACAGACAGGGUCUCUUCCUUAAUAAUAAUAAUAACAAUAAUAAUAAUAUCUUGUUCCCCCUCACAGAUAUUCAGAGGUGAGGAGGAAAGCAUUCUGUGUAUGCUCAGAGGUGCAGAAGGAACUCUGCCUAUGCUCAGAAGUACAGAUACAAAAGGUUCUGUGCACACGCUCAGAGGGAAGCACCCACAUUGUUUUCUCACCUCUGUGUCGUGUUGUUUUGCCUUUGCAGCUGUUUCCUGCACAUCAACAACCCCUUCUAGCAAAGGCUGGCCGGACCGGUUUUGUGUUCGAAGUUUGCGCCAGAGAUUGGCUGGCGUGAUAAAGUCUUAAGACAUAGGACUGCAUCUGCAACAUGAGACAGUGGUUUGCACAUCAGGCGGUGAGUUUGGCUGGAACUUUCAGAAAAGGUGCCUUUUGGGCCAGAAGGACUGCCAACAAAAAUCCCAGUUGCUGUAGCUUAUAUUUCAGAGGAAGGAACUGGUAAAUAUAUAUAUCUGUUUAUUUCUUGUCUAAGCAAACUCAAUGAAAUGUAUGGGUCAACAGGUGACUUGGAGGUGCAUGUGCCCACACAUAACUCC